GUCCAUUUUUAUGUUGGUCAUGGUUGGAAAGGUAUGAAUCUUUUUUCUAUUCUUUUACUGUUUUAUUUAAAAGCUUUGUGUCUGGAUUGUAGUAUUAACACUUGUCUCUUUUAAUUAGUUUAAUUAGUUUAAUUAUGUGUUAGUUGCAGGGUUGUGCUUUCUUAUUAACAACUGUGUCAAGCAAAAGCAACAUUUGUGUUUUUUUUUAUUUUUAUUUAUGAGCUCAUUUGCAGGGUUGAGGAAGGUAAAUAUGUAUUUCAGAAAAAAAUGUGAGGAGGGUCAGUGUGAAAACAGGAAUGCGUUUAGGGAAAUAUAGAGGUAUGCACAGAGGUAAAAUGGGUAUUUGUAGUAAUAAUAAUUUAAGGGAUGUAUCAUGAGUAUUAUUGUUUUGUAAAUGUAUGAAUCUUUUUUUUUUAUUUUAAUGUGGGGUGUCAAUUAAGUGAUGUAUUGUGUACUAUUCUAAUUUCAGGGUCUGAAGUGUGAAUUAGGGGCAGGGCAUAUUGACUUUGUGAAGGUGAUAUUGUGAUAUUGUCUUUGUGAAGGUGCAGUCAGAUGAGUCUUCAUAGUGCUUAAAGUUGGUAGGUAGGUAUGCAGGUAACAAGCUCUGUAAGGAUUACUGUUUAGGUUUCAGUUUUAUUAACAAUUGUCAAUCUAAAGUAACAUUGUGUUUAGUGAGAGUAUGAAUCGUGACCUUUUUUACUGUAUUUAUGAGCAAUUUGCAGGAUUGAGGCGAGAUUUUGUUACGUGGUUUGCACAUGGAAUCAUUGAAUAAUUUUAAUAAUUCGCCGUGUAACAGGAAAUUGCUGUCAUUCACACAUGUAACGUCCAAACUUAAUCAAACUUGAUAUGACUGAUGAGGGUCCUGGGUCUCUAUACAAUAUCGAUAAGACUGGUAAGUAUACCGAUCUGAAAAACGUAGGGGCAUUAUGUUUCUGGAAUGUUCACAGCGCCACCACGUGGACACAAGAAGUAACUUAAAAUAUCAAGAAUUUGCAAUGGAAGAGGACGUUUGUGUCAUUUGCCCACAACACCCAAUCUGCACCAAACUUCCUAGGAUUAACAUGACUCGCCAUAUAACAGUGAUCCACAGCGACAACAUCAUGGUUACCAGGCAGGGUGAAGUAUUGCCCUGGUCCCCAGGAGGAGGAGAGGCAGAUUGGGAGUGA
ensembl:lncRNA